CCCUUAGACGUUCUGGGCCGCACGCGCGCUACACUGACGGAGCCAGCGAGUAUAAACCUUGGCCGAGAGGUCUGGGAAAUCUUGUGAAACUCCGUCGUGCUGGGGAUAGAGCAUUGUAAUUAUUGCUCUUCAACGAGGAAUUCCUAGUAAGCGCAAGUCAUCAGCUUGCGUUGAUUACGUCCCUGCCCUUUGUACACACCGCCCGUCGCUACUACCGAUUGAAUGGCUUAGUGAGGCUUCCGGAUUGGUUUAGAGAAGAGGGCAACUCCAUCUUGGAACCGAGAAGCUAGUCAAACUUGGUCAUUUAGAGGAAGUAAAAGUCGUAACA
rnacentral:rRNA from 1 species